rnacentral:rRNA from 1 species
UACAGAGGGUGCGAGCGUUAAUCGGAAUUACUGGGCGUAAAGCGUGCGUAGGCGGUCGGGUCAGGCGGAUGUGAAAGCCCCGGGCUCAACCUGGGAAUGGCAUUGGAGACUGCCGGGCUAGAGUGCGGUAGAGGGGUGCGGAAUUUCCGGUGUAGCGGUGAAAUGCGUAGAGAUCGGGAGGAACAUCUGUGGCGAAGGCGGCACCCUGGACCAGCACUGACGCUGAGGCACGAAAGCGUGGGGAGCAAACAGG